CAGGAAAUUUGGUGCCUCAAAUUUCCUGGUGCCCUACACAACUGCGUACUUUGCAUAUGGAUAAGGAUGGCCCUGCUUGGCAGCACCACCAUGGCAACCCCAGCUCGUGAUGUUUUGAAUCUGCAAAUAACCUGAGAUUCUUUGCAAAAAGUACAGUGAGUCUCACACACCAAGGCAGACCGUCAUCAUGGUGUGGAGCGGAACUCUUGACUUUCAGCUGAGCACAGUAACAUUACACGCUCCCUAAUGAUCAUCCCAUUCAGUUACCCUCCUCCACACAACGCCCACAACAAAGUGAUUACCAAUGGCUGAGAAUCACCAACCAAGCUGCUUCAAACCAGCUUUGCCGGGAACACCCUGGGCGGUCACUCUAAGUAACGUUCAGGGCAAAGGCAGAAACCAAAUGCAAAACAACUGUAGUGGAUUCCCCAGAUGAAGUCUCAUCCAGUCCUCAUGGGCAAAGAUAGUGGCUAAGUCUGCACAACAGCUGGGCAGGCACUUCCCAGCAAGGCUAGACAGACACAUGCUGAUGCUUGAGUUAGCAUGCUAAAAAUAGCAGCUACCCACCCACAUAGAAUCCCGCCUGCCCCCCUGCACACAUACGCAGGCAUCUCGCCUGAGCCAUGACCACACUGCAAUUCAGUGGCUGUAUAGCAGAGCCUGGCAUGUUUGGGGAAAGGGCAGGGAAAUGGGAGAGGGCAAGGCUUGAAACGGAGAAAAAUAGGGGACUGCUCAGAGAAGUGAAAACCCCAGAGAGGGGGGAAGUCCAUGCAGGAAUGCAGUCAUGGGAUCAGCAGGCAGGUAAAGCCAGCUCUGCUUACAGGCUCUGGGAGUCAUAGAAAUGUGAGGCUGGAAGGGACCUGGAGAGGGCAUCCAGUCCAGCCCCUUGUGCUGAGGCAGGACCAAAUAAACUUAGGGUAUGUCUACACUACGGAAUAAGGUCGAAUUUAUAGAAGUUGGUUUUCUAGAAAUCGGUUUUAUAUAUUCGAGUGUGUGUGUCCCCACAGAAAAUGCUCUAAGUGCAUUAAGUGCAUUAACUUGGCGGAGUGCUUCACAGUACCAAGGCAAGCGUCAACUUCCGGAGCAUUGCACUGUGGGUAACUAUCCCACAGUUCCCGCAGUCUCCGCUGCCCAUUGGAAUUCUGGGUUGAGAUUCCCAAUGCCUGAUGGGGCUAAAAUAUUGUCGCGGGUGGUUCUGGGUACAUAUCAUCAGGCCCCCGUUCCCUCCCUCCCUCCCUCCCUCCGUGAAAGCAAGGGCAGACAAUCGCUUCGCGCCUUUUUUCCUGCGUUACCUGUGCAGACGCUAUACCAUGGCAAGCAUGGAGCCCGCUCAGGUAACCGUCACCGUAUGUCUCCUGGGUGCCGGCAGACGUGGUACGGCAUUGCUACACAAUAGCAGCAACCCCUUGCCUUGUGGCAGCAGAUGGUGUAAUAUGACUGGUAGCCGUCAUCGUCGUGUCCAAGGUGCUCCUGGCCACAUCGGCUGGGAGCGUCUGGGCAGACAUGGGCGCAGGGACUAAAUUUGGAGUGACUUGACCAGGUCAUUCUCUUUAGUCCUGCAGUCAGUCCUAUUGAACCGUCUUAUGGUGAGCAGGCAGGUGAUACGGAUUGCGAGCAGUCCUAUUGCACCGUCUUCUGCUGAGCAGCCAUGAGAAGUGGAUGGCAUGCAGUCCUUCUGCACUGUCUGCUGCUAGCCAAAGAUGUAAAAGAUAGAUGGAGUGGAUCAAAACAAGAAAUAGACCAGAUUUGUUUUGUACUCAUUUGCCUCCUCCCCCAUCUAGGGGACUCAUUCCUCUAGGUCACACUGCAGUCACUCACAGGGAAGGUGCAGCGAGGUAAAUCUAGCCGUGUAUCAAUCAGAGGCCAGACUAACCUCCUUGUUCCAAUCAGAACAAUAACUUAGGUGCACCAUUUCUUAUUGGAACCCUCCGUGAAGUCCUGCCUGAAAUACUCCUUGAUGUAAAGCCACCCCCUUUGUUGAUUUUAGCUCCCUGAAGCCAACUCUGAAAGCCGUGUCGUCAAUCGCCCCUCCCUCCUUCAGAGCAACGGCAGACAAUCGUUCCGCGCCUUUUUUCUGUGCGGACGCCAUACCAAGGCAAGCAUGGAGGCCGCUCAGCUCACUUUGGCAAUUAGGAGCACAUUCAACACCACACGCAUUAUCCAGCAGUAUAUGCAGCACCAGAACCUGGCAAAGCGAUACCGAGCGAGGAGGCGACGUCAGCGCGGUCACGUGAGUGAUCAGGACAUGGACACAUUUUUCUCUGAAAGCAUGGGCCCUGCCAACGCAUGCAUCAUGGUGCUAAUGGGGCAGGCUCAUGCUGUGGAACGCCGAUUCUGGGCUGGGGAAACAAGCACAGACUGGUGGGACCGCAUAGUGUUGCAGGUCUGGGACGAUUCCCAGUGGCUGCGAAACUUUCGCAUGCGUAAGGGCACUUUCAUGGAACUUUGUGACUUGGGGACCCAGCCUAUCCCUUAACGCCAUGGCUCAUGAAGCCGUACACAGGCAUCCUGGGCAGUAGUCAGGAGCUGUUCAACUACAGGCUGAGCAAGUGCAGAAUGGUGGUAGAAUGUGCAUUUGGACGUUUAAAGGCGCGCUGGUGCAGUUUACUGACUCGCUUAGACCUCAGCGAAACCAAUAUUCCCACUGUUAUUACUGCUUGCUGUGUGCUCCACAAUAUCUGUGAGAGUAAGGAGGAGACGUUUAUGGCGGGGUGGGAGGUUGAGGCAAAUCGCCUGGCUGCUGGUUACGCGCAGCCAGACACCAGGGUGGUUAGAAGAGCACAGGAGGGCGCGGUACGCAUCAGAGAAGCUUUGAAAACCAGUUUCAUGACUGGCCAGGCUACGGUGUGAAAGUUCUGUUUGUUUCUCCUUGAUGAAACCCCCCGCCCCUUGGUUCACUCUACUUCCCUGUAAGCUAACCACCCUCCCCUCCUCCCUUAGAUCACCGCUUGCAGAGGCAAUAAAGUCAUUGUUGCUUCACA